rnacentral:rRNA from 1 species
UGGUACGGAUCUGAAAGGUGAAGGACUUACUCUUCGGAGUGAGAGCGUACACAGGUGCUGCAUGGCUGUCGUCAGCUCGUGUCGUGAGAUGUUGGGUUAAGUCCCGCAACGAGCGUUCAACCCUGCAUUCAGUUGCCAUCGGUAAGGCCGGGCACUCUGGAUGGACUGCCGGCGACAAGCCGGAGGAAGGUGGGGACGACGUCAAGUCAUCAUGGCCCUUAUGUCCAGGGCGACACACGUGCUACAAUGGCCGGCACAACGGGAAGCGAAGGGGCGACCCUGAGCGGAUCCCACAAAAGCCGGUCUCAGUUCGGAUUGCAGUCUGCAACUCGACUGCAUGAAGUUGGAAUCGCUAGUAAUCGUGGAUCAGCCAAGCCGCGGUGAAUACGUUCCCGGGCCUU